rnacentral:rRNA from 1 species
GACGAACGCUGGCGGCGUGCCUAAUACAUGCAAGUUGAGCGCUGAAGGUUGGUACUUGUACCAACUGGAUGAGCAGCGAACGGGUGAGUAACGCGUGGGGAAUCUGCCUUUGAGCGGGGGACAACAUUUGGAAACGAAUGCUAAUACCGCAUAAAAACUUUAAACACAAGUUUUAAGUUUGAAAGAUACAAUUGCAUCACUCAAAGAUGAUCCCGCGUUGUAUUAGCUAGUUGGUGAGGUAAAGGCUCACCAAGGCGAUGAUACAUAGCCGACCUGAGAGGGUGAUCGGCCACAUUGGGACUGAGACACGGCCCAAACUCCUACGGGAGGCAGCAGUAGGGAAUCUUCGGCAAUGGACGAAAGUCUGACCGAGCAACGCCGCGGGAGUGAAGAAGGUUGUCGGAUCGUAAAACUCGGUUGGUAGAGAAGAACGUUGGUGAGAGUGGAAAGCUCAUCAAGUGACGGUAACUACCCAGAAAGGGACGGCUAACUACGUG